GACGAACGCUGGCGGCGUGCUUAACACAUGCAAGUCGAACGGAAAGGCCCUGCUUUUGUGGGGUGCUCGAGUGGGGAACGGGUGAGUAACACGUGAGUAACCUGCCCUUGACUUUGGGAUAACUUCAGGAAACUGGGGCUAAUACCGGAUAGGAGCUCCUGCUGCAUGGUGUGGGUUGGAAAGUUUCGGCGGUUGGGGAUGGACUCGCGGCUUAUCAGCUUGUUGGUGGGGUAGUGGCUUACCAAGGCUUUGACGGGUAGCCGGCCUGAGAGGGUGACCGGCCACAUUGGGACUGAGAUACGGCCCAGUCUCCUACGGGAGGCAGCAGUGGGGAAUAUUGCACAAUGGGCGGAAGCCUGAUGCAGCAACGCCGCGUGCGGGAUGACGGCCUUCGGGUUGUAAACCGCUUUCGCCUGUGACGAAGCGUGAGUGACGGUAAUGGGUAAAGAAGCACCGGCUAACUACGUG
rnacentral:rRNA from 1 species